AUUGAACGCUGGCGGCAUGCCUUACACAUGCAAGUCGAACGGCAGCGGGGGAGAAGCUUGCUUUUCCUGCCGGCGAGUGGCGAACGGGUGAGUAAUACAUCGGAACGUGUCCAGUCGUGGGGGAUAACGUAGCGAAAGCUACGCUAAUACCGCAUACGAACUAAGGAUGAAACCGGGGGACCGCAAGCCCUCCCUCGAUUGGAGCGGCCGAUGGGAGAUUAGGUAGUUGGUGGGGUAAAGGCCUACCAAGCCGACGAUCUGUAGCUGGUCUGAGAGGAUGAUCAGCCACACUGGGACUGAGACACGGCCCAGACUCCUACGGGAGGCAGCAGUGGGGAAUUUUGGACAAUGGGCGCAAGCCUGAUCCAGCCAUUCCGCGUGCAGGAUGAAGGCCUUCGGGUUGUAAACUGCUUUUGUACAGAACGAAAAGGCUCUGGUUAAUACCCGGGGCUCAUGACGGUACUGUAAGAAUAAGCACCGGCUAACUACGUGCCAGCCGCCGCGGUAA
rnacentral:rRNA from 1 species